UACGAAGGGGGCUAGCGUUGCUCGGAAUUACUGGGCGUAAAGGGCGCGUAGGCGGAUGUUUAAGUCAGCGGUGAAAGCCCAGGGCUCAACCUUGGAACUGCCAUUGAUACUGGACAUCUUGAGUACGGGAGAGGUGAGUGGAACUCCGAGUGUAGAGGUGAAAUUCGUAGAUAUUCGGAAGAACACCAGUGGCGAAGGCGACUCACUGGCCCGUUACUGACGCUGAGGUGCGAAAGCGUGGGGAGCAAACAGG
rnacentral:rRNA from 1 species